UGGGGAAUCUUGGACAAUGGGCGCAAGCCUGAUCCAGCCAUGCCGCGUGCAGGAUGAAGGCCUUCGGGUUGUAAACUGCUUUUUGUACGGAACGAAAAGACUCUGGUUAAUACCUGGGGUCCAUGACGGUACCGUAAGAAUAAGCACCGGCUAACUACGUGCCAGCAGCCGCGGUAAUACGUAGGGUGCGAGCGUUAAUCGGAAUUACUGGGCGUAAAGCGUGCGCAGGCGGUUAUAUAAGACAGAUGUGAAAUCCCCGGGCUCAACCUGGGAACUGCAUUUGUGACUGUAUAGCUAGAGUACGGCAGAGGGGGAUGGAAUUCCGCGUGUAGCAGUGAAAUGCGUAGAUAUGCGGAGGAACACCGAUGGCGAAGGCAAUCCCCUGGGCCUGUACUGACGCUCAUGCACGAAAGCGUGGGGAGCAAACAGGAUUAGAUACCCAAGUAGUCCCUGAGCGGGCUGGCAAGGCGCAU
rnacentral:rRNA from 1 species